rnacentral:rRNA from 1 species
GUGGUUUAAUUCGAUGCCACGCGAAGAACCUUACCUACUCUUGACAUCCAGAGAACUUUUCAGAGAUGGUUUGGUGCCUUCGGGAACUCUGAGACAGGUGCUGCAUGGCUGUCGUCAGCUCGUGUUGUGAAAUGUUGGGUUAAGUCCCGCAACGAGCGCAACCCUUAUCCUUUGUUGCCAGCGGUUCGGCCGGGAACUCAAAGGAGACUGCCAGUGAUAAACUGGAGGAAGGUGGGGAUGACGUCAAGUCAUCAUGGCCCUUACGAGUAGGGCUACACACGUGCUACAAUGGNGUAUACAAAGAGAAGCGACCUCGCGAGAGCAAGCGGACCUCAUAAAGUACGUCGUAGUCCGGAUUGGAGUCUGCAACUCGACUCCAUGAAGUCGGAAUCGCUAGUAAUCGUAGAUCAGAAUGCUAGCGGUGAAUACGUUCCCGGGCCUUGUACACACCGCCCGUCACACCAUGGGAA